CUGCCGUGGACGUUGGAGAUUUGAGAGGGGCUGCUCCUAGUACGAGAGGACCGGAGUGGACGAACCUCUGGUGUUCCGGUUGUCACGCCAGUGGCAUUGCCGGGUAGCUAUGUUCGGAAUAGAUAACCGCUGAAAGCAUCUAAGCGGGAAACUAGCCUCAAGAUGARAUCUCACUGGGAACUUGAUUCCCCURAAGGGCCGUCGAAGACUACGACGUUGAUAGGUCGGGUGUGUAAGCGCUGUGAGGCGUUGAGCUAACCGAUACUAAUUGCCCGUGAGGCUUGACCAUAUAACACCCAAACAAUU
rnacentral:rRNA from 1 species